UACGAAGGGGGCUAGCGUUGUUCGGAAUUACUGGGCGUAAAGCGCGCGCAGGCGGUCCUUCAAGUCAGAGGUGAAAGCCCAGAGCUCAACUCUGGAGUGGCCUUUGAGACUAGAGGACUUGGGUACGGGAGAGGUGAGUGGAAUUCCGAGUGUAGAGGUGAAAUUCGUAGAUAUUCGGAAGAACACCAGUGGCGAAGGCGGCUCACUGGCCCGUUACCGGCGCUCAGGCGCGACAGCGUGGGGAGCAAACAGG
rnacentral:rRNA from 1 species